CUUCUCUUCCAAUGACGCUUCUCUUUGCGCAUCUGGAACGACAUUCUCCCAUGGCUCGGAAUGCACCACAUCUCUACUUCUUCUUGGUCGGCGAGCGCUUCGGUCAAAGGAUGGUGGAACGAUAACCUUCAGAUUCGUCUCGGCUCGCCCAAAGCCCUUGCCUCAUUGAUGAUGCUCAUCUCAUGGGAGAUUUGGUCCGAGCGCAACGCGAGAGUCUUUCGCAACGUUGCAGUCCCUCCGGUGGUAAUCAUUAACAAGAUCAAGCAAGAGGUGUCGCUUUGGGCUUUGGCAGGUGCCAUGCAUUUGGGUAUUGUAAUGCCGCGAGAGUAG
rnacentral:rRNA from 1 species